rnacentral:rRNA from 1 species
GUUUAUCAAAAACAUGUCUUUUAGAAUUUAAUUUAAAGUCUAGCCUGCCCACUGAAUUUUAAAUGGCCGCAGUAUUUUAACUGUGCAAAGGUAGCAUAAUCAUUAGUUUUUUAAUUAAAAGCUGGAAUGAAUGGUUGAAUGAAAUAUUAACUGUUUCAAUUAAAUUUUUAAUAUAAUUUUAUUUUUUAGUUAAAAAGCUAAAAUUUUAUUAAUAGACAAGAAGACCCUAUAAAUCUUUAUAUUUUAUUGGGGUGAUAUUAAAAUAUAAUAAACUUUUAUUUAUAUUAAACAUAAAUUAUUGAUUUAUUGAUCCAAUAUUUUUGAUUAUUAAAUUAAGUUACUUUAGGGAUAACAGCGUAAUUUUUUUAGAGAGUUCAUAUUAAUAAAAAAGAUUGCGACCUCGAUGU